rnacentral:rRNA from 1 species
AUUGAACGCUGGCGGCAGGCCUAACACAUGCAAGUCGAACGAGUGGCGGACGGGUGAGUAAUGUCUGGGAAACUGCCCGAUGGAGGGGGAUAAAUACUGGAAACGGUCGCUAAUACCGCAUACCAUCCGAUUUGCCCAGAUGGGAUUAGCUGGUUGGUGGGGUAAUGGCUCACCUAGGCGACGAUCCCUAGCUGGUCUGAGAGGAUGAACAGCCACACUGGGACUGAGAAACGGCCCAGACUCCUACGGGAGGCAGCAGUGGGGAAUAUUGCACAAUGGGCGCAAGCCUGAUGCAGCCAUGCCGCGUGUAUGAAGAAGGCCUUCGGGUUGUAAAGUACUUUCAGCGGGGAGGCGUUACUCGCAGAAGAAGCACCGGCUAACUCCGUGCCAGCAGCCGCGGUAAUAC